rnacentral:rRNA from 1 species
CGGACGGGUGAGUAACGCGUGUGGAACCUGCCCUGUACAGGGGGAUAACACUUAGAAAUAGGUGCUAAUACCGCAUAAGCGCACAGUAUCGCAUGAUACAGUGUGAAAAACUCCGGUGGUACAGGAUGGACCCGCGUCUGAUUAGCUGGUUGGCGGGGUAACGGCCCACCAAGGCGACGAUCAGUAGCCGGCCUGAGAGGGUGAACGGCCACAUUGGGACUGAGACACGGCCCAAACUCCUACGGGAGGCAGCAG